rnacentral:tRNA from 1 species
GCCUUCUUGGCCAAGCGGUAAGGCGUCGCACUCGUACUGGAUUAAGUAAUUGUUCAUAUAAGUUAUGCGAAGAUCGACGGUUCGAUUCCGUCAGGAGGCA